rnacentral:rRNA from 1 species
UACGGGGGGGGCAAGCGUUGUUCGGAAUUACUGGGCGUAAAGGGCGCGUAGGCGGUUUAUCAAGUGAGAUGUGAAAUCCCCGGGCUUAACCUGGGAACUGCAUCUUAAACUGGUAAGCUGGAGUACUGUAGAGGACAGUGGAAUUUCCGGUGUAGCGGUGAAAUGCGUAGAGAUCGGAAGGAACAUCAGUGGCGAAGGCGACUGUCUGGACAGAUACUGACGCUGAGGCGCGAAAGCGUGGGGAGCAAACAGG